UAAUAACAACGGCUCGUUCUGAUUUCGUCGGGCAAAUACCGAAUUAAUAUUCAUGCUCGUGCAUUUCCAGCCACGACAUAUAUCCAUCCGCGAUAAUUAAUAUUCAAUUAUAAUGGGCUGGUAUGUAAAUGCGGGGAAACGGUGCGCGCCACCGCUGAUUACUUUCCCGUUUUGGUAAUUGUCCGCGCUAUCGUCGUUCCAUCACCAUUAUUUACAACUAUUCGACCAAUUACGCUACUCAAGCUCGCUUCCCGCCGAUUACGAUCGGUUACGAUUCCGUUACACGCGUACGACCGUUCGUGAAAUUCCGUCUACGUCCUGUGAAAGUUGGAAAUGUCAUUUUUGCGUUUCGUAUAUCGCGCGUGUUGGGUAAAACAUUUUGGAAUUUCGCUGGCAUCGUGAUGAAACGCGACCUUCGCGAUUACGUUGCUCGAGAUCGUCGAGGAUUCCAACGUCGAUCCGUCGCGUAAUUAAAAUACGAAGGAUCGAUAUAUCUCGCGCAUUCGUUUAUAAGCAGCAGCAAAUUCCAAGUAAUGGUCAAUUUUUCAGAAUAAUACGUAGUCUCGAUCGUCGUUUUUCUCUGCGUUUCGAUUCGCGCAGCUGAGAGAUUCGUCCGUUACGAACGCGUCAGAGUUUCACCGACGUUAUUUAACAUCGAUAUUAAAAAAAUGCUAGGAUACAACGUAAACAGCCACGUUGAACGUAUCGUAUAAUAGGCGUAUAACGAGCCGUUUAAAUACUUUUACGAUCUUUCGGAUGUAUUAUUCGCGUCGAAUGCUAUAUUUUCAAGCGUGUUUCAAACUCUACCGACGUAACGACGAUAGCGGUGUUUCGUCACGGUGUUAACAAAGUUUCAAAAUGUUUCGUAUUACUCGCUCGUAAUAUAUUCGCAAGAGGUUUCCACGACUGUUCCAAUAUUUUCGCGAGCAAACGUAUCGAGAUAAAAUUUGACAGAAUUUCGUUGCAAAGUUGGCGCGCGUUUGCUCCAUAGAUUACUCGAUGGAUACGUUUUACCUCGAUAAAAACGGCCUUUUUGUUUUCAGAAGGGGUAUGAAAAAUUAUACCGGUCCGUAGUAUCGAUCGAACGUUGGGGAACUGCUUCUUAACGGUGAGACAGGAAACGAGCAGAUGAAAAUUACGGAAAAGUAGGUCAUUGUUACGACCUUACGUUCGAGUCGAGUUAAACGCGUUAACGUUUGAGAAAUUCCUACGAAAUAUACAUUUUUGAAUUUUAAAGAGAGUUUCGCAACACUCGUUAUACAAUUACGAAAAUUAGGGCUUCCGAGUGUAAGCUUUCGAAAGAGAUGUCUCGACGUUUCGCGUCGCAGUUACCUUCGUCAGGAGUUGAAUUUGCUUUUUAAUUUUUUUAUUAUAAAGUAUAGAAUCCGCUGCCAGGUGGACGUUCGUUAAACUCUUCUUACAUCGAGUUUACGCAGCAUGAUAGGGCGGAUAUUUAUGCGUUUACAGGAUGUUUAAAAGCGUAAAGCAGUUACAGAAUGUAACUUCGCUUGUAAUUUCCAAUGAAAAUAUAAAUUUCGAAAUAUCUGCGAUUUAAAAACGAUAAAGAUGCUCGAACAGUACGCGCGAAUACGUUAAUCGGUAUCGAUCCGAAAUUUUGGCGUAUCUCUUUCGAAAGAACGUGGUUGGCACGCGUAAGCCUCGAUUUUUUAGAUCGUGCCUUGAUCGCAAACAGAGAGACGCGCCACUACCAUACCGGCAGUUUUCGAUUUUUAUUUGUUUCUGUUAAGUAGAAGGGUCGUUUACCGAGCACGCGGAGAGCGUGAAAAAUCGAUGUUUGGUAUUAAAAAGCGAUACUUCUCCGCCACGGUAAAACGAUACGAGUUACAAAGCUCGGAUAAUUAAAGUACUUUGCCGCUACUUUAUUAAAUGAAUCGAAAAAUAUCCGAUCCUUCGUCGAUAGCUACUAUCGCUAUUAAUUUCGGCUUUCCAAUUUCUUUUCCAAUUUUUCAUCGAUGAUGCCUCUAUAUUACGAGUAUCGUAACACACCAGCUCAUAACGCGAUUUAUAGUUCCGUUGAUCUCGCAACGAUUCAGAGAGCGAGAAAAGCGACCGACGUCGAUCGUGUUUCGCUUUUUGACCGAUAACGUGUUCUAAUACACAAGGUGAGAAGCUAGAACCACAUAGAUCGGAAAAUGGACGAUAAAUGUACGACGAAUUAACCGAUGCGAUUUAAUAUUCGUCGAACAUUAAGGAAGGUGAAAAAUGGAACGAAAUAUGUGGUUUUUUCGUCUGACUUUGUAAUCGAAUACGUCUAACGCAAGGAUAAUUUUAACGUUGAAUCGGUCGACGAUCGAUCGAAUUUCGAAAUUGCUCGUCUAUUUUUCUCUUACGCGUACCGUAUUUUUCACCGGCUUGCCAAUACUUUGCUUGAAAAAAGAAUUGGAACGCGGCCGGGAGUAUUCUUUCGCUCUUGAGGAGAAACGCGAAUAAGGCAAAGGUCGCUUUUGUUACGCGUCGUUCGAUCGGGUCGCGUGAAUUAAUCAGAACGAGUCCGUUGUCCAUCGAUCGAUUAUUGAAAUUAGUCUUACAAGCCGUGGGAACGAGCGAGCCUGUUCUCUCGCGACUGAUUUUUGGGAAGAAGAAAGAGACGCGGCCGAAACGUGGCCCUUCGGUCGGCCCUUGAAACGCGAUUCCCUCGCCGCGAAAGCAGGCGAAUAUUUUCGACUGCUCUUCUCGCCAUCGCACGGAGAAAUAUCGAUGGAAGCUCGUUGAACUCUGAACGCAGAGUAAAAUACGAAAAAAAGAGGGAUAUCCGAAAACAGGAAAAAAAAAAGAUGAAAAAAGUAGCCUGGAUAGUCCUAUGGAGGAACGCGUGCGACGGUGAACGUAGCAUGUUUCGUAUCUGCGAGAGAAUUAGCGGGUAUUUUAAAUUCUAAAUUUAUCGUGAAAAACUGUGAAAUUGCACGGUGAUUUUGAUCCACGAAGGACGUCCAGUAUGGUGGCUGAUCUAUAAUCAAGUUACCUACGUAAUGAAAACCUUUUCGAUGCUUUUUUCAUUCGAAAAAAAAAGAAAGGAAGAAAAAAAAGAGAAAUAGAGAAAGAGAGGAGAAAAAUCGAUCAUAGAGCGUGCUUAACACGGCGAUCAAUGCGUACGCGGUGUAUGCACUUCAGAUUUAUGGAAAAUUAAUGCGGGUUCCACGUUAUUUUAUCCUCCAGUGACGCUCGACGAUUUUAUUUUAUUACGAGGUCAACGAGUAGCUGAUCUGCGAUCAACAGCGACGCGAUAAGAAUAGGAAAAUCUAGCGUUGGCUUUUUUUUUGUCGCGUAUAAAAAAAAUUUGGUUUUUUCUAUCUCUAACUAGGCAACUACGCGGUACGUAGUUAUUAGCGAUAGCAACGAAAUACGCUUUUUGGCUCUAUAACGACGUGAAACGAGAAACACGCGCGUGAUCUAUAUUAACUCCUUCGAUUUUAUCAACGCCUAUAUGCGCUAAACGAAAUCCAUUCUCUUGCUCUAUGAAUACAUUUGUGUAUAUGCAUUGGAAAUUUCAUUGCUGCGAACUAUGUACGUUCAACGCACUCUGUAGUCGUUUUCUUUCUUUUUUCUUCUUCUUCUUCUUCCUCCUCUUAACGCAAGUACAAAUCGAAUGUCUCUUUUUUAAGUUCGAUCGAUUAACGUCUCAGGCUUUAUUUUAUUCGCGAUCUUAUUACAUUUUCUUUAUUCUUAUAAAGAGAUAAAAAGAUAGAGCGUCGACGUGUUUCAUCGCGUGGAUUAUCAAGUCCGGUGAAUGGACUAUGCAUCACUGUUCGACCGUAAUAGAACGUCGUAUGGUAAAAGUUCCAUCCGGCGAUGUUGAUAUACAGCGUAAGAAAGAAUUCAUAUCGAAAGGGUUAACUCUUGGCGGUUCUAGCAGCCUUGCACGUUUUAUUCUACCUGGUUCAUGCUCGGUAAACUACUUGUAACGUUAUAACAUUGUGAUAUAUAACGUUAUCUUUGACAAAUUUUUAACGAACACUGUACCGUUCAACGUUGUACAAACAUUGCUACGUGAUACGCGGAGCAGGUGGUUUUUUUUCUCUCCCCCUUUUUUUUAUCAGCUGGAUAUUCGCUGUAUUUCGAAAAAUUUCUGACAACGAGAUUCUCGGAUCCCGUACGUACGUUCGAGUACAACGGGAAAGAGCGAAUAACGAAUCGUAAUGCACGAUUUUAAAUCGUAGCUGCUAAGGUUAAUGCCGAACGAACCACCUUUCGAAUCGUAGCGAUGAUAAAUAUGUUCGCGAAACGUUCCUGCAAACGUUCGAAUACUCGCGCGAGCCACUCUAUAUUAGACAUGUAUAUACGCGUGGGCGAUGAUUUCGACGAGAGCGGAUAGUUCAACAAGUAGCCGAUCCAUAAUCAAGCGUGACAGCGGUACCUUUCAUUCGGCUCUUUUGUGUCUAGCUGUCCGUUGUUCGCGCGCGUUCGAACCUCGGAUAGUUGGAAUUUACAGAGAGUUAUUGGACAUUCCAAAGUUCUGAAUUUACGCUGGCGAAUUACGCGGCGAUCUUGACACGGAAAUCGAAAGAGUGUACGCGGUUGAUUUGCGAUCAAAACCGAUCACGGGUACAGCACCGCAGAGAGAGAGAGAGAGAGAGAGAAAGAGAGAGAGAGAAGGAGAGAGAAUAUCAUAAUCGGCGAACCCUUUGACCCAUGGCUUAAAUGACAAACGCGGUUUUAUCGUUGUAAUUAAAUAGUUCGGUAUUGACGUUGUUUCGCCUAUCGAUACGCUCGAUAGCGUGACCUAGAUGCGUGCCGUACAGAUCAAUCGGGUAAAUUCCUAUUCGUCGUACGGUUUUGCUUUGUACGCCACGCGGUCGUCGUCGUGGUUAAUGGAAUAGUUUGAUAAUGACAUUCCAAUGUGUGCGUAGACUGCAGCUCGGAUUCACGACGACGACUCGCGUGUUUUCCUUUGCGUGCGGAAUAAACAGCUUGCCGCUUAGCUACAUAUCCGGAGACGCGUGUCUACGUUUGGCGUGAUUCGACAAAUUCGAAUAGAAUGUCCAUUUAUAUAUGUACGAUUCUAUCGGUUUUACGUGGACGAUACAGUUGUAACGUCGAUAUCGUUGGUCAUGCCGCUAUCGAUCCGAUCUUAGCGUUACAGCGACACCUGCUUCGCUUGUUUCGUGCAUGCUACGAGCGGAAGGUUGCACCGCUUCCGCGAAUAGUGGCAUGUCGUGCGUCGAGCCAGCCCCGUAAUGUCGUUGAAACCACUCGCAAACGUUUCUUUAACGUCGUUCUACGAAACGUAGGUUUUUUAGAUCGCGCCGCUAUCGAUACCAAGCAGCGAUACGCCCUGUCUCAAGAUUGCAUUUUCCUUCGCAUUCCUGUCGUCUAUUCUCGGUAUUUCUACUUUCACGCGCAUUCCUAUUUUUUUUAAAUCCAGAGACACGGAUGGUCGAACGAUAGUUUUCCUUUGGCGUGCCAAACUCCACGCUCCGUCUUCUUUUCUCGCUUUCCAUUUUGGUACUAUACACGCGCGUAAAGUAUAUUUAUUUCCGUUAAAAUGCUCUUUGUAUCGUUUGUUUGCUACACCUUCUACUUUGUUCUUCGUUCUCGUUCGAGUACGUACGUUGAAUUUCGCGUUAUCCGGUAGUUCUUCCGCGUGACGAAAACUUGAUACGAAAACGAAACGUAGAACGUAGUAAUAAAACGACAAAAGCAACGAAUAUCUUUUGUAGCCACGGUGAAUAAUAAAAUGAAAUUUUUCCUUUGUCGCGCUAAAGUCGACGUUCUAUUUAGUUGUAUUAAAAUCUAUAUUUCCUGUUUAUUUUGGUACGGCUUUGAUUUUGAAAUAAAUACUCGAAUAAGAGUGUAACAGCGUGAAAGUAGUUUAUCCGAUAUAAAGCAAUUAAAUCGAACGUGACUCGAGCCAUAAAGCGCGCAUUAUGAUAAUGGUUUCCUGUUUUUUCUCUUUUUCUUCUCUUUGUCUUUGUUUCUCAUUUCCUCUUUUUAGCAAAGGUUGCGAUUUUCACAGAAAUUCGGAGCGUCGAUGUUUGAUCAAUUUAGAUCGUUUACUUCGUAAAUAAAACGCGCGCGAGAUGAAAAUAAUUGCGACGAUGAUUUUCCAAAUCUAAUAAUACCGGAACGACAAAAGCGAUUCGGUAAUUUUGCGUAUGUAAUUGUUAUCUUGAAACACGAGAGCUCGCGAAAUGCUCUAUAAUACGAAAAUAUGCAUCGACCGUGUCUUCGGCGUUUGUUAAAACAUUCAUUAUCGGCAUCAAUAGGCGAUCGAACAGAUAACGCGUUAAUUAACUCGACAUCGAAAUUAAAUUUACUUCCGUGUCAAUUAAUCCGUUAACUAGGAAAGACGAGAGUUAAUUUCUCGCCCAAAUCGUCCAUAUUUUCAUCGUGCAUACCGAUGCACACCGGUGUACUUAUUAACGCAUUGCUCCAAUUAAAAUAAAAAAGAAAGAAAAAAAAGAGACAAAAAAAAAAUGUUUGCAGUUGCAAAAGUUAAAACAAAUUUAAUCGAUACCCGCUUUCGACAAUUUUUGCUUUUUGCGCCAAUUACACCGUCAACUGGGAGACGUACUAAUCGCUAAUAAUUUAUUCGCUGCAAUACCACUCCCUCCAAAAAAAAAAAAAAAAAAAAAAAAAAAAAAAAAAAAAAAAAAAAUGAAAAGAAGAAAAAACAGCGAUCUAUUAAUCGAUCUGUUAAUUGAAAAUAAUACAGAGUCGACUAUUAUGCAUAUCUCCGGCGUAAUAAUUUAUUCGACGUUGCGAUAUCGCUUACGAAACGCUAGAAAAAAGGAAAGGGGAGAGAAACGUAACGCCGCGUAUUUACAAAUUCGCAAAAAAUUAAAACCGAUCUACCCGGUACAUAUACGCUUUUGUUAAUUGCUAUUUUUGUGAAUGAAAGAGUUUCCGAGCACGGCAAACAAAAUUCGGUUAACCGGCUGAACGGGGUUUUCCAGCACACUCGGGAAAAGAAAAACAAUCGGAAAAACGUAAAACAAACGAAAUAUUCCGUAUACAUGGCGUUCUAUAUGUACGAGCGAACAAAUUCUCGUUGCCUUGUUCGAUGGGACAGACGUUGUCGGGGGCUCGCGAUAAACGUUUUCGUUGGAUCGAUAAACCGGUCGAAGCGAUCGGUGCUAAGAUAUAAUUUUUCAUAGCUCGUUAUCCGACCUCUUGGCCUGACGUAUUUGCAAACGGUAACGCUAUAGCAUUCACCUUAGCUCGUUCGAUUUACAUAACUCGUGCUCGUUGCGGCAGAGCAAACGUCUCGAAUGUUUCUCGAGCGGUCUAAUCAAUAGCGAUACCCAGCGACGUCGAGUGGCGAUGAAAUCGAUUAAUCGGUUUCCAUUUUCCCUACCGAUCCAGGAUCCCGGUGGUUAUUCAUUAUUACGCGGCAACAGUACGGUUUUAAUAUUAAUUGCCCGGUCCGUGACGCGGACCCCCUUCCUAUCGUUCUACAGUUUCAAUAUCGCAGAGCCAAUUAAACGUAGAGACCGAUAAAAGACGGAAAUCAAAGCGGAAAGAGCGGGAGGAGCUGCUGCAGCGGUGAGACGAUACGAUAUGCAGGUCCAUA